GCCCUGGUGCUUCCGGGGGGUGCCGGGCAGGCUCCGCCCCCUGCAGCAGUAUGGGGCGGGGGAUGUGGUACUUUCUGCAGCAGCAGCCGCCUUGGGUUAUGGCACUUUGGGGCGCCCUUGGCCCGUUAGUUUUUGUCAAGGGCCAAAUUUCUUGGUCAAGGUCCAGACUCCUGAGAAAAUAAUAAUAAAAAAAUAAAAAUAAUAAAAGUAAAUAAGGUAAAUGAAGAUCUGGCAGUCUGGGUUGGACCCCGGGGUCUCCCUCUUGACUACCCCUGCUUUGGGGUACACAUAAGUUAUGUCCGUGACAUUUACAACAAUCAGAAGGGGGCCCUGGGGGGAGAAAGAGAUUCCUUGUUUCUCCAGCAACCUGACACCCUAAUUUUACCUCUUACAGUUUACAGCCUGAUGUAUGGACCAUCAUCUCAUACCCCCGGCAAGGCUAUUUUAAAAUCCACUUUCUAACACAUGGCUGUGAGGGCUGAAGGUUCUCAGGAAAGGAGUUAAAGUAGUAAAAAAAGAGUUCCAAGAGGAUACAUGUGCUAUCUUAUUUUGACUACACUGGGCUGCAAUUCAGCAAAGCAUUUAAGCACAUGGAAUCAAUGGGGCUCCUCCAUAUUAUUGGCAGCUCCCUGAUGAUCCCCUCACAGCCUUAGCCAAGUCCUGAAGUCAUGGCUGCCAUCUUUCAGAUAGAGAAAGAGAAAGAGAUGAUGUUAGGUCCUUCACCGUCACGGUCCUCCAAGAGCUCCCCACAGUACCUCUGCAGCAUUCCCCAUCACCGAAGCACAAUCCAAUUGGGUUCUCCCUCACAUCAGCGACCACAGAUGUGAUGUUUAUUCAUAAACAUUAGAGAUGGAUCCAGGCUACAACUCCGAACCCCCUGUACCGGGUGAAGAAGACGAUUGGAAUCCAAACACCUAUCUGGAUCCACAUUUUGCAAAUGGCACCUCUUUUUAUAAAAGGUGGAGCCAAAACACGAUCAAAAAAUCCUCAGACUUUUUAGGGGUUCAAGAUCAGAGUCCAAGUGUGGAGGCUUUGUUCCAUAUUUAAAAUACAGCUAUACAGCCUUUGAUUUUGUCAUAGUUAUAUUUAUUUCUCACCCCUGCAACAGGGGUAGGUGAGUGGCAAUGGAUACUCUAUUUCUGAUUCAAACACAACAGUCUAAAGGCUUAGUGGACACAUACUCUGUACCCAGCAGCAGCAUGUCUUGGGGUUUAACAU